rnacentral:rRNA from 1 species
UACGAAGGGGGCUAGCGUUGCUCGGAAUUACUGGGCGUAAAGGGCGCGUAGGCGGAUAUCUAAGUUGGGGGUGAAAUCCCGGGGCUCAACCUCGGAAUUGCCUUCAAAACUGGAUAUCUUGAGUUCGGGAGAGGUGAGUGGAACUGCGAGUGUAGAGGUGAAAUUCGUAGAUAUUCGCAAGAACACCAGUGGCGAAGGCGGCUCACUGGCCCGGUACUGACGCUGAGGUGCGAAAGCGUGGGGAGCAAACAGG